rnacentral:rRNA from 1 species
UACAGAGGGUGCAAGCGUUGUUCGGAAUUAUUGGGCGUAAAGCGCGUGUAGGCGGCCUGGCAAGUCGGGUGUGAAAGCCCUCAGCUCAACUGAGGAAGUGCGCCCGAAACUGCUAUGGCUUGAGUGCCGGAGAGGGUGGCGGAAUUCCCCAAGUAGAGGUGAAAUUCGUAGAUAUGGGGAGGAACACCGGUGGCGAAGGCGGCCACCUGGACGGUGACUGACGCUGAGACGCGAAAGCGUGGGGAGCAAA